rnacentral:rRNA from 1 species
UACGAAGGGGCUAGCGUUGUUCGGAAUCACUGGGCGUAAAGCGCACGUAGGCGGAUUUUAAGUCAGGGGUGAAAUCCCGGGGCUCAACCUCGGAACUGCCUUUGAUACUGGAGAGCUUGAGUCCGGAAGAGGUGAGUGGAACUCCGAGUGUAGAGGUGAAAUUCGUAGAUAUUCGGAAGAACACCAGUGGCGAAGGCGGCUCACUGGUCCGGUACUGACGCUGAUGUGCGAAAGCGUGGGGAGCAAACAGG